rnacentral:rRNA from 1 species
AUUGAACGCUGGCGGCAUGCCUUACACAUGCAAGUCGAACGGUAACGGGCCUUCGGGUGCCGACGAGUGGCGAACGGGUGAGUAAUGCAUCGGAACGUACCUUUCAGUGGGGGAUAACGUAGCGAAAGUUACGCUAAUACCGCAUAUUCUGUGAGCAGGAAAGCAGGGGAUCGCAAGAACUUGCGCUGAGUGAGCGGCCGAUGUCAGAUUAGCUAGUUGGUGAGGUAAAGGCUCACCAAGGCGACGAUCUGUAGCGGGUCUGAGAGGAUGAUCCGCCACACUGGAACUGAGACACGGUCCAGACUCCUACGGGAGGCAGCAGUGGGGAAUUUUGGACAAUGGGGGCAACCCUGAUCCAGCCAUGCCGCGUGAGUGAAGAAGGCCUUCGGGUUGUAAAGCUCUUUCGGCCGGGAAGAAAUCGUAUGGGCUAAUACCCUGUGCGGAUGACGGUACCGGCAUAAGAAGCACCGGCUAACUACGUGCCAGCCGCCGCGGUAAUAC